rnacentral:rRNA from 1 species
GAUGAACGCUGGCGGCGUGCCUAAUACAUGCAAGUCGAGCGAACAGACGAGGAGCUUGCUCCUCUGACGUUAGCGGCGGACGGGUGAGUAACACGUGGAUAACCUACCUAUAAGACUGGGAUAACUUCGGGAAACCGGAUCUAAUACCGGAUAAUAUAUUGAACCGCAUGGUUCAAUAGUGAAAGACGGUUUUGCUGUCCCUUAUAGAUGGAUCCGAGCCGCAUUAGUUAGUUGGUAAGGUAACGGCUUACCAAGGCAACGAUGCGUAGCCGACCUGAGAGGGUGAUCAGCCACACUGGAACUGAGACACGGUCCAGACUCCUACGGGAGGCAGCAGUAGGGAAUCUUGCGCAAUGGGCGAAAGCCUGACGGAGCCACGCCGCGUGAGUGAUGAAGGUCUUCGGAUCGUAAAACUCUGUUAUUAGGGAAGAACAAAUGUGUAAGUAACUAUGCACGUCUUGACGGUACCUACUCAGAAAGCCACGGCUAACUACGUG